GCCUCGGUGGCUCCGAGGUAAAGCACCGGCCUAUGGACCCCAGGUGGCGGGUUCGAAUCCCGGCCGAGGUG
rnacentral:tRNA from 1 species